ACCGAGCAAUUUGAAAGAGUUUUGGUGAUUGCAAGAGCUCCGCCAAGCUGUAGCCCUCAAUGUGGUAAGCCUAGCCUUGAAUCCUGAUUCCCAAUUCAUUUUUGUCUUCAAUUUCACGGAUUGAAAUCUUACUUGGUUUCUCCCUCUUCUGCAACUUCACCACCAUGUAUGUCGUCGUCCUCCUCCGCCAUCUCAACGGUGUAGUGGAGCCCUAGCAGCAUUUAAAACAUAUUAUGAGUUGAACCCAGAAACCUCAUAACUCGCUAGGAGUCUUGGAAGAAGAUUGAAGCAACUAGAGCGGCUCAAAACCGAUCCUGGAAGAGUACGACAUGACUGGUCAUCUUCAUUUCUAUUUGUGAAGAGAAGAUGUUUCGAGCAAGCAUGAUCGUUUGAAACUUAGAGCAGCAGUGCAACUAUGUGUUGAGAUUUGGAUAUUGGCUAGGAUUCUGCAUAUCAUUCCAGGUCGGCUUGGUUCCUUCGUUGUUUCAAUUAAAGGAAGCCAGGACUAGCUAGCAUUAAAGUAAGGUCCGAUAGUUAAGCAAGAACAACCUGACUGGACUUGCAGAUCGAACGUACACAAUGCUACUAUAUAUAUGUAAGCUGUCGUCUGUCGAUGAGGUGAACAGGACCGCACCAUCAUAUUUGUAAAACUUGCUAAGAGAGAGAUGAAUGGGUGCAGCUUGUUACAGAGGCUAUUUGCUCUGGUAUAUUCAAUGACUUGGGAAGUGAUAGCAAUGUCAAUAUAUGUGUAAAAACUAAGGUUCAGGGCAAUAAAGAAUUUAUGCGGAACCAUUUGAAGCCUACCCCUCGAACCUAUAUCAGCCCCAAAGAAUACUUAUUCACCAAGAAGACAUGUCAAAUUCUGUCGCCUUAUUUUUCUUGAUAUGACCACAAAAUGUUUAAUUAGUGUCAUACACCACUUUCAUUUAAUAAGAGCUACCGUCAUUUGUCUAUGUCUCUCAUAUAGGAAACUCAUGUCUUCACUUCAUGAUAACUUUUGGUUUGCCGCUGCUAUUAUCACAUAGGUUAUCUGGGAGCAGCUUCGAUAGUUGAAUAAGCAGAUUGAGUUGGAGCUUGACUCUGGAGCCAAACCCGCGCAUCCACCGGUCACUGGCCUCAUUGCUUAUGUUUUGGGUUCAUUUCUUUGGAAAAUAGUUUUUUAUAGAUUGAUUAGGACCAAGUAUGUAUUGUUUUAUAUAUGUAUCCUUA